rnacentral:rRNA from 1 species
UAAGGCUUGACCUCAACUCAGGUAAGGCUACCCGCUGAAUUUAAGCAUAUCAAUAAGCGGAGGA